rnacentral:rRNA from 1 species
AAUAGAUACCCGGGUAGUCCCAGCCCUAAACGAUGGAUACUAGGUGUCGGGGGUAUCGACCCCCCCGGUGCCGCCGCUAACGCAGUAAGUAUCCCGCCUGGGGAGUACGGCCGCAAGGUUGAAAACUCAAAGGAAUUGACGGGGGGCCCGCACAAGCGGUGGAGCAUGUUGUUUAAUACGUCACUAACCGUAGAACCUUACCAGGGUUUGACAUGGCGUGAUCUCCUAUGAAAGUAGGCUUCCUCGCAAGAGGACACGCACACAGGUGUUGCAUGGCUGUCGUCAGCUCGUGUCGUGAGAUGUUGGGUUAAGUCCCGCAACGAGCGCAACCCUCAUCCCAUGUUGCCAGCGAGUGAAGUCGGGAACUCUUGGGAAACUGCCGGGGUAACUCGGAGGAAGGUGAGGAUGACGUCAAGUCAGCAUGGCCCUUACAUCCUGGGCUACAAACAUGCUACAAUGGACGGUAAACAGAGGGAUCCGAGACCGUGAGGUGGAGGCAAUCUCAGAAAUCCGUUCUCAGUUCGGAUUGCAGGCUGC